UGGGGAAUAUUGGACAAUGGGGGCAACCCUGAUCCAGCAAUACCGCGUGUGUGAAGAAGGCCUGAGGGUUGUAAAGCACUUUCAGUGAGGAGAAAGGUAGGUAUGCUAAUACCAUACUUAAUUGAUGUUACUCACAGAAGAAGCACCGGCUAACUCCGUGCCAGCAGCCGCGGUAAUACGGAGGGUGCGAGCGUUAAUCGGAAUUACUGGGCGUAAAGCGUGCGUAGGUGGUUAAAUAAGUUAGAUGUGAAAUCCAUGGGCUUAACCUGUGAAUUGCGUUUAAAACUGUUUGACUAGAGUGUUGUAGAGGGUGGCGGAAUUUCCAGUGUAGCGGUGAAAUGCGUAGAUAUUGGAAGGAACACCAGUGGCGAAGGCGGCCACCUGGACAAACACUGACACUGAGGUACGAAAGCGUGGGGAGCAAACA
rnacentral:rRNA from 1 species